AUUUACAGUCAGCUCUAGUUAAAUUUGUGAAGGAAGAAACAAUUAAGUAUUAUGAUGAUGUUUCUCUCUGCUAUGUUAUAAAGGGUAAAGCUGAUGUACAACUGUGUUACUUGUGUGUGUAUAUGUGGUUUGAUUUAUAUUAUGGGUAAAAAUACAGUUGUAUUCUUUUUGUAAUUCACUUGAUCUGGCUACACAAUUUCCAAGCAACUCUUGAAUGGGGGUUGGCAAAGGACCCAAUGACACCAUGAACUAGAACCCAUACAAUUUAGGUGGUUUAUUGUAGCACCAUGUAGUCUGAGAGUAGUUUGCCAACAUUUCAGUGGGCCUUGUUGCCUCCAUCAUCAGGGCUCAUUGAAAGAGGCAGUGAGGACCUACAACCCAGAAGACAGCCAUCUUCCUAUUUCAUCAGUGUGCCAUUCAUUUAUUGCCUGAUGCAGUAAAGGAAGCUGUUGAGUAAUGAAGGACACAUGUUGACCGACUUCGAUGUCUCGAUUACUCCAUGCAAGAGACCUUAGUCCUCAUUUACAUGUUCAAAUCCACGAGCAUGAAAUUUCCUUUGAAUAUUCCUGUGCAGAUCGAAUUUUUACAUUGAAGGGAUUUGACAAGAACAACUACUCAUCUAUUCCAAUGCCUGGAUAGGCUUCUGAGGAAGCAAGAAAUUAUUCAGCAACAACCGAAAGCUGCACUUCAUAAGCAACAAUAGUGUUCAACAAUCAAUGUAACCGAAACACAUAGCUGGAAAUAUUCCUGCCACAAGAGCUCAAACAGGUGAAAAGUAAGAAGUCUGGUACAGUGCUACCAACAGAUCUAACAAUCAGUUCAGCUGGUGGGGAAAUCAGCCUGUAUCUAUCAAUCGCACUAGAUGAUGGCCUAACACUCACAGAUGGUGCACCUCAGAAAUGGGCUCUGGAGCUCCCAGAUACGUCAUCGUCAGCCACCAGCUCUAGUGGGAAAUACGAAAGAGAUAUGACACUGUGCAUACUUGUUCCAAAGCAGAAGCAAACUUCCACGAGUUUCUCUGUUAACUAUUGUUUGUACGCGUCACGAACAUUCAGAAUGCAAAACCUACACUUUGUUGGAACCGUUAUAUAUGCUGAAGGUGCACCAGCUAAAGUUGUCCACCAUUUUACUCACGUUAUCAGACCGUAUCAAGCGCAAUAGCAAACCAUCAUAAUCCAUGUAUAUGCUUCAUUUUUGUAAAUACCCAAAUAUUUUUUUGAAAUCUCAGUGUGUACUAUCAGUUUUAACAUGUGAAUGUUAUUUCAAACAUGCAUGAAAUAAAGAAAAUCUGCCAAGCAGUAUUA